UAGUCCACGCCGUAAACGAUGAUAACUAGCUGUCCGAACCCACAGGGUUUGGGUGGCGCAGCUAACGCAUUAAGUUAUCCGCCUGGGGAGUACGGUCGCAAGAUUGAAACUCAAAGGAAUUGACGGGGGCUCACACAAGCGGUGGAGGAUGUGGCUUAAUUCGAGGCUACGCGAAGAACCUUAUCCUGGUCGCGGAUUUGGGAGACCAUUUCCUUCAGUUCGGCUGGACCAGUGACAGGUGCUGCAUGGCUGUCGUCAGCUCGUGUCGUGAGAUGUUGGGUUAAGUCCCGCAACGAGCGCAACCCUCAUCCUUAGUUGCCAGCAUUUAGUUGGGCACUCUAAGGAAACUGCCGGUGAUAAGCCGGAGGAAGGUGGGGAUGACGUCAAGUCCUCAUGGCCCUUACAAGCUGGGCUACACACGUGCUACAAUGGCGAUGACAGUGAGCAGCUAACCCGCGAGGGCAAGCUAAUCUCUAAAAGUCGUCUCAGUUCGGAUUGUUCU
rnacentral:rRNA from 1 species